CCCUUAGACGCUCUAGGCGGCACGCGCGCUACAAUGGGUGGUAGAACGUGUAACUGCUCCCGAAAGGGAGGGUGAACCACGAAUACUUACCCGUGAAUGGGAUAGUUUGUUGCAAUUUUCGGACUUGAACUAGGAAUCCCUUGUAAGAAUGCUCAAGAAUAGCGUGCUGAAUACGUCCCUGCCGUUUGUACACACCGCCCGUCGUUUCUUCCGACUGAUACUCAUUGUGAGUUGCAAGGAUUCUUAUUGAAAAAUUGCUGCGAAUGCUUUGGAUUGGAGGAAGAAAAAGUCGUAACA
rnacentral:rRNA from 1 species